GGGAAACAUGGAACAGUCGGAAGAAUGAUGGGCAAAGAUGGAGCUGGCAUUAAAUUUUCAAUGGAAGCAGUAUUGGCUUUGACUUUUCAGAAGGCUUAUCUGUUAGAUGGUGUUUGUCACUGGGCCGCGGAGCUGUGGAUGUUCGUCAGUUGGAAGUUGCAGGCAGUUGAACGAUAUGGACAGGUAAUGUCAUUGCAUGUACACAGUUUAAGACAGAGCAUCUGGUGAUUCUCGGACCUUCAAGCAAGUGUCACAUCUCAGGUGAACCUUGGCAGUUUUAAGAUGAACAAAGUAAUCAAAGCAAAAAUGUCAAAUAAUAAUAAUAAUAAUGAUAUCAGAAGAAUGUCCAGUGCCAUGGUUGGAUUCCCAGAAGGCAGCAUCUGCUCAUGCCAUCAACAACAUGGUGCCAUUUCAGUCAUCCUCUUUUUGUCCCAAAGACAGAAAAAAAAUAGAAAAAAGAAAGAGAAAAAGACACCACGAACCGUCUAUCCUCCUGGUAAUACAAAUACACCUGUAAAUAAACAUGUCAAUGUCUACACACAACGCACAUUUAUGCAGAAUCCAUCCUCUCGGUGCUUCCGUAGUUAUCAAGUAAAAGUCCUUCUAAGCCUAAGAAAUGAUAGUAUUAAUUCAGUCUUGGGGUGUGGGGGGAAAGGUGGACUAUCAUCAAAUAAAAAAGGCGAGGCUAAUUAAGUGACAUCCACUGGGGACUGGGAAAAGAAGAGACUUCUUGUGGGAAAGUAAUUAUAUCUUCAUUGACCCUCCUGGGGUACCCCCAGUGGCAGGGACUCUGCCUCGCGGUGUGACAUCUCCUUUCGGGAUGAGCAGCCAGUCACCUCGAGAAGCCCCCUUCUCCAUGGAUGCGUUUUCUAAUCAUUUCACAUGAUUGAGCCUCCAGCAAGUGAUGCUUUACUUAAUUCCUUUCCGCCUGUAGGGUGUGAGGUUUGGAGGGCCUCUCGUCAAAACUUUGGAGGGCUCUGUCAGUUUGAAAAGAACAUGACCUUUAAAUUGUAUCAGUAUGUUUGCUGGUGCAUAAGGGAGAGGAAAAGGUUCGUCCUGAUGGAAAACCACUCAGAAGCCAAGGAGUAAUUCAGAGGGAACCAGCCCAGGAAGAAUCAAGAAAGCUGCCCACAGUGUCAUUCUUCAGCUGAGAAAAGAGAGAGUUGACUAACUCCUCGGACUGGAGUGAGGACUCACAGAGGUGGUAGGACACUAACCAUCUAUGUCUCCAUUUCCUGGGUUGUAACACUGAGGUAGAACAUCUCACUGUCCCAUGGAGGAUUAUGUUAUUUUUGGAGAUUAAUAAUUUUGGAGGAAGAAAGGUGGCUUCCUGAAAAGGAAGUCACAUGAAGAAGCAACUUACACGGUGGUCUCUUUAAAUAAACAUAUUGUGACUAGACAA
ensembl:lncRNA LINC01837 long intergenic non-protein coding RNA 1837